CAGCGACCCGUAUGUGAAGUUCAAGCUCUCUGGGAAGGAGGUGUUUCGAAGCAAAACCAUCCACAAGAACCUGAACCCGGUGUGGGACGAGAACACCACGAUAAUCCUGGACUGCCUGAGCGACCCUCUGUAUGUCAAGGUGUUCGACUACGACUUCGGACUCCAGGACGACUUCAUGGGUUCUGCUUAUCUUUACAUGGAGUCUCUGGAGCAGCAGAGGUGUAUUCCCGUGACGCUGGUUCUGAAGGACCCUCAGCACCCGGACCAGGAUCUGGGUUCUCUGGACCUGUCCGUCACCCUGACCCCCAAAGACACUCCUGUGGAGGAGAGGAGGGACUCCACUUCCACCGUACGUACACCGAUCAUC